rnacentral:lncRNA from 1 species
GCAAUGGAUGGAAACUAAUCAAGGAGAAAUUUAACCUGGAAAUAAGGAGAAUUUUUCUGACAGUGAGAACGAUCAAGCAAUGGAACAGUUUGCCUUUAGAAAUUGUGGGAGCUUCAUCACUGGAAAACUUCAAGAAGAGACUGGAUUGCCAUCUGUCAGAAAUGGUGUAGGGUCUCCUGCUUGAGUGGUGGGUGGGUUGGACUAGAUAACCUACAAGGUCCCUUCCAACUGUUGAACUGUUAAAUCUGUUAGUGCUGUGUUGCACAAAAAAAUUCAAUGAACGUAGCCCCUGGCUGUGACACCUUAAAGCAGCUGCAACUUCAACUAGAAUAGGGAAAGUCGAUUGGGUUUCAACACAAAAGAUGACCAGAGAACAGUAGGCAGGGACAAUGGGCAGCAGUUUAAGGUGGAAAAGAGAUUAUGGGUUUAUACUGUAAAUCCAGUUCUCUGGGGAUAGAGUCAUAGUGGUUCACUUCCUUUCCUUUUCCUUCCAGUACAUCAUCUCGGAUCCUUAGCUGUGGCAGCUGCUUGGAACCCCAGGAUGCCUCUGGUGCAAAGCAUGGUGGCCAUGAAUGUGUUAAGUACUGUAGCAGCUGGUUUGGGCCUGGCGUCCCUGUUUGCCACCUUCGGUAUACCCUAUCUAUUCAAUUUGUCUAGCCACUGCCAUAAUUUUAAAGAAGAAAUUGAGAAAAAGUGUGAUGCAAACCAGAAUAUCGGCAUAGGAAUACUGACUAUUCUUACUCUGUUCACCGCCCUGGAGUUUUGCAUCACCAUCUCAGUUGCGUCUUUUGGAUGUAAGAUGCUUUGCCGAGAUACCUUCCCUGAACAAGUUGUGGUCAUUUAUCAGAAUGUGUCUCCUGCCAGUGCCGAACAAGUUCCUCCCCUCGACUGUAAACAGGCAGCAAUUCAAUCCUGAAUUGCUUUUUUUUCAUUGCAGCUAUUCUGGAGUGCAUUCACCUCCUGCAUCUUGAAGACUUUUUUUUUUAAGGAAUUGCAUGGAAGUUUUUAAACAGUGGAGCAUAAAGGCUUUUUAAUGGACUAAGCAAAAAGCACCAGACGCAAAAGAUCAUGUGAAUGUUCUUUGUUGCUGGUUAAAAUAUCUCUUUAUGAGUUGGUUGGCACUUUGCACCACGUUAUGGUUUGCCGUUGG